GUUCCUGUGGCGAAAAUGGUAAACGCAGCAGUCUCAAACACUGUAUCCUCAAUAGAGGUUUGUGAGUUCAAAUCUCACCGGGAACACCA
rnacentral:tRNA from 1 species